GAUGAACGCUGGCGGCGUGCCUAAUACAUGCAAGUCGAACGCUGGAAAUCUAGCUUGCUAGAUUGAAGGAGUGGCGCACGGGUGAGUAUUACAUAAGCAACCUACCCACGAAGACUGGGAUAAUCUCUGGAAACGGGGACUAAUACCGGAUUGGUAAUCGUAAGGCAUCUUCUGAUUAUUAAAGGUUAAAAACACUGGUGGAUGGGCUUAUGGCGCAUUAGUUAGUUGGUGAGGUAACGGCCCACCAAGACGAUGAUGCGUAGCCGGCCUGAGAGGGUGAACGGCCACAUUGGGACUGAGACACGGCCCAGACGGCAACGAGAGGCAGCAGUAGGGAAUUUUCGGCAAUGAGGGAAACCCUGACCGAGCGACGCCGCGUGAGUGAUGACGGCAUUCUGGUUGUAAAGCUCUGUUGUAAGGGAAGAACGGUAGAUAGAGAAUAUCUAAAUGACGGUACCUUACCAGAAAGCCACGGCUAACUACGUG
rnacentral:rRNA from 1 species